rnacentral:antisense_RNA from 1 species
ACGCUGAGAAUUCUCGAUGCCAGGCUGCCCAAGGCCACAGUGAGCAUCAGAUAAGGGAGAACUAUUCCUUUGUUCUGAAAAGACUUCAUGACUCAGGGCUGAGCUCAAUCUAAAUGACAUGCAGCGUUAAUUUCAUUUUCUACUUACUAUGUAGUCUAGGGUUCCUCCUGUUUCUCUGCCAUCUAGAGAUCAAUUCAUUUUUAUCAAUAUUUGGGAAAAUCAGUGACAUAAAUCAGCUCCAGCAUCAAACUUCAGCUGCUACAGAGAAGGCCAGGUGUAUGGAGCAAACAAAGCCUGCAGCCUGGGAGAUUAGGAACCGCUCCUAACAAUGGACUUAAUAACAUCACAUUCAUCACCUGAUUGGAUUCUUCCAACAUGAAGCUCACAGAAGGUGAGUUACCUCAGUCCCUUCUCCUGAGAGCACUCCCUCAGUAACACACUUGAACGAGUCUCCACUCAGGCUCUGCUUCUAGAGCACAUGACCCAAGACACCAGGCAACUCCUGGUUAACUCAGGACUCUGCCAGGGUUCAAUAACUCAAGUUAUCCUUCACCCUCGUCUCUCAUACUCACUCCUGUGGUCGCUGAGUAUCACCUCAUUACC